ACUUCAUAAGUUAAUAUGACUCAUAGUAGUUUAUUGCUACCAAUCCCCUUGUGAUUCUGUAGCUUGCAUCUCGCCUUAGGUAUCAUUGUUUUCUUGGGAAUGGAAGUAAACAGAUAUUUCAUAGACAAGUCGCUUUGUGCGUCAUAGUUUUUUUAAUACUCAGUUGCUGCAUGCAUAGUAGGACGACACCACUGGCAGUCACAACAAAAUGCAAGGAAUUAACGUCACUUACAACUGGUUUCAAUAGAUCGUCGCAGGAUAGAUCGUUCAAGGUAUUCCAGCAAAUAAAAGUUGGCUAGCUGUUGGAGUGAGGAGUGUUGUUUAGGACCAAAGCUCGACAAAAAUCUACUGUCUCAGCGAAUCGACUACUCAAAGCUGCUGAAGAACUCAGAAGCUUAUAAAGCAAGACUUGCCAAUACUAAUGGAGCAGAAGAUCUGUGUAUAAAGUCAGCAUAUAGCAUGAAGUAGCUUCGAGCUAUCGGCAGCAAACGAAGGCUUUUUGGUAUCAAUUGUUGAAACACGAUGGGCGGCU